CCUACGGGGGGCAGCAGUGGGGAACAUUGCACAAUGGGCGCAAGCCUGAUGCAGCCAUGCCGCGUGUGUGAAGAAGGCCUUCGGGUUGUAAAGCACUUUCAGCGGGGAGGAAGGCGUUAAGGUUAAUAACCUUGUCGAUUGACGUUACCCGCAGAAGAAGCACCGGCUAACUCCGUGCCAGCAGCCGCGGUAAUACGGAGGGUGCAAGCGUUAAUCGGAAUUACUGGGCGUAAAGCGCACGCAGGCGGUCUGUCAAGUCGGAUGUGAAAUCCCCGGGCUCAACCUGGGAACUGCAUUCGAAACUGGCAGGCUAGAGUCUUGUAGAGGGGGGUAGAAUUCCAGGCGUAGCGGUGAAAUGCGUAGAGAUCUGGAGGAAUACCGGUGGCGAAGGCGGCCCCCUGGACAAAGACUGACGCUCAGGUGCGAAAGCGUGGGGAGCAAACAGGAUUAGAUACCCGAGUAGUC
rnacentral:rRNA from 1 species